ACUUGGGUAGCUCAGUCAGUAGAGCACCAGACUCUUAAUUCCGGGGGUCGUAGGUUCGAGCCCUGCAUUGGGUG